rnacentral:misc_RNA from 1 species
GAUGAAGAACGUAGCGAAAUGCGAUAAGUAGUGUGAAUUGCAGAAUUCAGUGAAUCAUCGAAUCUUUGAACGCACAUUGCGCCCUUUGGUACUCCUUAGGGCAUGCCUGUUCGAGCGUCAUUUAAACCUUCAAGCUAAGCUUGGUGUUGGGUGACUGUCCGCUUCACGGCGGACUCGCCUCAAAAUUAUUGGCGGCCGGUACAUUGGCUUCGAGCGCAGCAGAAACGCGAACUCGGGCCCGUCGUAUUGGCUCCCAGAAGCUAUCUUCACAAUUUUGACCUCGGAUCAGGUAGGGAUACCCGCUGAACUUAAGCAUAUCAAUAAGCGGAGGA